GUCUAUAGCCAUGCUACCCUGAACAAGCCUGAUCCCCGUCUGGUCUCGGAAGGGAAGCUAAGCAGGGUCGGGCCUGGUUAGUACUUGGAUGGGAGACCACCUAGGAAGACCAGGUGCUGUAGGCG
rnacentral:rRNA from 1 species